CCGCGGAGGAUCAUUACUGAGUGAGGGCCUUCGGGCUCGACCUCCAACCCUUUGUGAACACAACUUGUUGCUUCGGGGGCGACCCUGCCGUUUCGACGGCGAGCGCCCCCGGAGGCCUUCAAACACUGCAUCUUUGCGUCGGAGUUUAAGUAAAUUAAACAAAACUUUCAACAACGGAUCUCUUGGUUCUGGCAUCGAUGAAGAACGCAGCGAAAUGCGAUAAGUAAUGUGAAUUGCAGAAUUCAGUGAAUCAUCGAAUCUUUGAACGCACAUUGCGCCCUCUGGUAUUCCGGAGGGCAUGCCUGUUCGAGCGUCAUUUCACCACUCAAGCCUGGCUUGGUAUUGGGCGCCGCGGUGUUCCGCGCGCCUCAAAGUCUCCGGCUGAGCUGUCCGUCUCCAAGCGUUGUGAUUUCAUUAAUCGCUUCGGAGUGCGGGUGGCCGCGGCCGUUAAAUCUUUCACAAGGUUGACCUCGGAUCAGGUAGGGAUACCCGCUGAACUUAAGCAUAUCA
rnacentral:rRNA from 1 species